rnacentral:misc_RNA from 1 species
AUCAUAAAAAGGGAGGAAAGUCAAGCGCAGGAUUUCCAAACAGCUGCUGAUGGAAGCACCAGGACAAAGGAUAGCAACCGUGUUAAAGGCAUUAUUGGUGCUAUUAUAGAUGAGAGUUCUCGUAUUGGUAAGGAAGAAAGAUUAGCUAUGGAAAUUGCAGCGGAGGAUUUCUAUAGCCACAGUAAACAAAGUUUGACUCUGCAUAUACAUGACUCUCAAGGGGAUCCCAUCAGAGCAGCUCUAGCAGCUAAGGAACUUAUUGACACACAAGAAGUGGAAGCCAUUCUAGGAUUGCAGACUUGGGAAGAGGUGUCAGUAAUUGCUGACACCAGCAAUCAAAGUCAGGUUCCAAUUCUUUCUUUUGCUGACACUAUUCCAAAAUGGGCAGCAAAGAAAUGGCCUUUCCUACUCCAAGCUUCACCAAACAAAUACGAUCAAAUGAAAGCCGUUGCUGCAAUUGUUCAGUCAUGGAAUUGGCAUCAAGUAACUGUAUUAUAUGAAGAUUCUAUGGCAGGUGGAGUCAUACCGUAUCUCUAUGAUGCCCUGAGAGAAGUAGGUGCAGACAUCAGGCAAAUUAUAAGCCUUUCUCCUUUUGCUGCUGCUUCUUCCUUGUCUGAAGAUCUUGAAGCUCUUCAGAGAGAGCAGUGUAGAGUCUUUAUUGUUCAUGCUUCCUUAUCAUUGGCUGCACGCCUAUUUGAAAUAGCUAACAAAUUGAAGAUGAUGGAACAGGACUAUGUAUGGAUCACUACAGAUCCCAUUACAAGCCUUGUCCAUUCAAUUAAUGCCUCUAUCAUCAAUUCAAUGCAAGGAAUUGUAGGAGUCAAAAGCUAUUUCCCUGAAACGGGGCAAUGUUUUAAGGAUUUUUACAAAAGAUUUCGCAGAAGAUUUAGCACACAACAUCCUGAAGAGGAUAACAAUGAGCCAGGAAUUUUUGCAGUGCAGGCCUAUGAUGCUCUCCGGACAAUGGCUCUAGCAAUCAAUGAAACUAAUUUUGGGGGCCAAGAAUUGCUUACCAAAUAUCAUGACUUAUCUGGAAAAAUUCAGUUCAUCAACCAGGAAGUGGCUCCAAAAUAUACAUUUGAGAUCAUCAAUAUAAUGGGAAAGAGUUACAGAGAACUUGGGUUUUGGUCAAAUGGCUUUGGCUUCUCCAAGACCAUUGGUAAAGGUGCUAAUUACACCUCUUCAAUGAAUGAUUACCAUGUUUUAUGGCCAGGGGGACCUCGGGAUACACCAAGAGGAUGGACUAUACGAACAAGCGACAACCCACUAAGAAUCGGUGUCCCUACAAUGUCAGGCUACACAGAAUAUGUGAAUGUGCAACAAGAUCGCUUGGGAAAUAAUUUAUCUUUCACUGGCUUCGCAAUUGAUGUCUUCCAUGCUACACUAGAACGCUUGCCAUUCUAUUUGCCGUACAAGUUCGUUCCCUUUAAUGGAAAUUCUUACAAUGAGCUGGUGAAGCAGAUUCAUCUAAAGAAUUUUGAUGCAGUAGUUGGAGACGUGUCAAUAUUUUCCAACAGAUAUAAGCAUGCCGAAUUUACUCAUCCCUACACUGAAACAGGAUUGAUGCUGAUAGUUCCCACUCGAUCAACAUCCUGCAGUGCAUGGUUAUUCAUGAAGCCCUUCACAAAAUCCAUGUGGGUGCUAAUUGCAGCCAUAAAUAUCUAUAAUGGUUUUGUUGUUUGGUUGAUAGAGAGAAAUCACUGCAAUGACCUCAGAGGCUCCCUGCUAAAUCAAAUAGGAGUCUUGCUUUGGUUAUCCUUCACCACUCUUUUCUCCUUGACUGGGGAAAAAUUACACAGCAAUCUAUCAAGAAUGUCAAUGGUAGUGUGGUUGUUUGUGGCACUGGUCAUAACACAGACUUACACAGCAAACCUUGCUAGUGUGCUCACCGUCCAGAGGCUUGAACCUAUAGAACUAAAUAACAGUGCAAAAGUUGGAUAUUGUACUGGUUCCUAUAUCAAAGAUUAUUUGGUUGAUGUUUUAGGUUACGAUCAAAACAGGUUGCGGACUUAUUCCUCAAUAGAUGCAUAUGCUCAAGCCCUCAAGAACAAGGAAAUUGCUGCUGCUUUUCUUGAAGCUCCUUUGGCCAAAGUGUUCUUGGCAAAAUACUGCAAGGGCUUUGUGAAAGUUGGGCCAACAUACAAAGUUGGAGGUUUUGGAUUUGCAUUUCCGCGAGGAUCUCCAUUAUUAGCCAGCAUGAAUGAAGCUCUACUGAAGGUAUCAGAAAGUGGAAAGCUACUAGAGCUAGAGAACAGCAUGGUUCCAUCAAACCAGUGCAGGGACAGGGAUAUCGAUUUGGAUGAUGAAAAUCCCAGCCUUGGCCCCAGCUGCUUUCGAAUACUCUUUAUAUUAACUGGAGCUACAUCAACACUUGCUCUUGUCUCCUACGUUUUGCUUAAAGCUAAUUCUAUGCUGAAACACAAAUCAAUAUGGAGACUGAUGUUGGCUGUAAUGAAACACUGGCGCUUUCAAAAGAAGCAUUUCACUAGAAGAGUAAGCAAUGCUGAAAUCCAUGGAAAUUCCCCUCCAGAUGCAUUACACCCAGUUUAGAUAUCAAAUUUAAAAAAAAAAAAUUCCACUUUGUACAUUAUGAAUUUUAUUUAGCACUAUGUACAAAGUUAAAACAGGUGUAUAUAUCUAAAAUAAU